UACGAGGGGGGCAAGCGUUGUUCGGAAUUAUUGGGCGUAAAGGGCGCGUAGGCGGUUUGACAAGUCUGAUGUGAAAUCUAUGGGCUCAACCCAUAGCCUGCAUUAGAAACUGUCGGGCUCGAGUCCGGAAGAGGAGUGUGGAAUUCCUGGUGUAGCGGUGAAAUGCGCAGAUAUCAGGAGGAACACCAAUGGCGAAGGCAGCACUCUGGGACGUGACUGACGCUGAGACGCGAAAGCGUGGGGAGCAAACAGG
rnacentral:rRNA from 1 species